GCUUGAGGUACCUCUCUAUAGGCAAAGAGCACGAAAGGAAGCCACUGGUCACAAUCUGCUCCUGUGUCUUUCACAAACCUCCUCAAAAUAGCUUUAAGGGUUUUCUUGAAACGCUUAACAAGGCCAUCUGUUUGUGGGUGGUAGGGAGUUGUCUUGAUACCUUUGAUCCCCAGCAAUCUAUAGACUUCUCUCAUGAAGUUGGAUGUAAAGUUGGACCCUUGGUCAGUAAUGAUUUCUUUUUGGAUGCCUACCCUCGAGAACAUUUGUAUUAAGCAGUUGGCAAUCUGACGAGCUUUAACCUUUUUUAAAGGGAAAGCCUCGGGAUAUCUUGUAGCAUAGUCACACACUACCAAAAUAUACCUGUGCCCUGCACUGCUCCUCUCUAAUGGGCCUAUGAUGUCCAUCGCAACACGGGAGAAUGGAGUGUCUAUAAAUGGCAUAGGGAUCAGGGGAGCCCUCUCACCUUUCCUUCCUGGUGCUGUUAACUGACACUCUGGACAAGACUUGCAAAACUGAACAGUGUCUGUAAACUGCUGUGGCCAGUAAAAUCUAGUUGACAUCCGAGAGAAGGUUUUGGCUUGACCCAGGUGUCCUGCCCAAGGGACUAGGGAUUGUUAGGUGUUGGGUUUUAGUAAUGUGGUGUUUUUGUUUGUAUGUGUUUUUGGUGCCUCCCUUUUUGUAUAGGUAGGUGGGGCAGUGAGUCACUGAACCUGGCGCACCUGUUACUCAUCAGAUGCUCUCUUCAGAAGUGUUUUUAGGAGCUACCUGACAGAAGAUUAGUGUCGGAGUAUUGGCGUUUUUGGAGUGUGGAAAUUCUGCCCCUGCCUGUUGGAGCCCUCGGAUUACUUUGGUGUCUGUAAGGAGUUUUUGUUUCCUCCCUAGGAUUUUGGCCUCGACUGUUUUGCCUAGCCUGGAGGUUUUGGGCUCCAAACUGUGCCAAAUCGAGUGCACUGCUUAUGUGUAUUUUCGUCACUAGCACGUCCUGGCUCCGCGUCCUCAUUCAUACACGUUGUACAUAUGUUGUCCUUGUAAAUAUCUCCUCCCCUCACUGUAAAUAAACUGCCUUCACUGCAACUCUGCCUCCGUGCGUUCUGCUUCUUGGGUCCAUCAGCUUUUGUCUUAACAGAAUACUCCGACCAACACAUUUAUGGACCCAGCAGAACAUACGGACGCCGCUACCGGCGAUUUGCUUUCAAAACACGAGGAAUCACUGUCCAGGUUGGCUAAACAGUUUCAGCAAUCUGAACAGUGGGCGGGUCGGGUUAACGACACCUUGACCGCCAUUCAGGCGACACUCGCUCUUAAAGCCGUUUUUCACCAUCCCCUGCGCGCCGAUGAAGCCGCACGGCAGCUGUCUGGGCUGCGGCAGGGCAGUCAGUCGGUGGCCGAAUUCUCCAUCAAUUUCCGCGUUAAAGCCGCUGAGACAGGUUGGGCGGAUAAUGCGCUGCGCGGGGCAUUUGUUAAUUGCUUAACAGAACGCAUGAAGGAUGAGCUUGCUACUCGCGAUGAACCUGAAGAUUUUGAAGCUCUAGUGGACCUGGCUAUUCGCAUCGAUAAUUGGCUGCGCGAAAGAGAGAGAGAGAAAGACAGAGGGGGGCGAACCCGUGGUAAUCAGGGAGGGAAUGUGCCCGUGCGCACUGAGUUUCCGGCUUCCCAUCCUUCUCACUGUCCGGCUCGUGCUGACUCGCCUCCCACUGACAAUUUAGAGGAGCCCAUGCAGUUGGGUCGCGCUAAACUCACCCCGGUUGAGCGUCGUAGGAGGUUUGAGGGACGGCUAUGCCUGUAUUGUGGCCGUUCGGGCCAUUUUGU
ensembl:lncRNA